rnacentral:rRNA from 1 species
UGGGAAUUUUGGACAAUGGGCGAAAGCCUGAUCCAGCAAUGCCGCGUGUGUGAAGAAGGCCUUCGGGUUGUAAAGCACUUUUGUCCGGAAAGAAAUCCUUGGCUCUAAUACAGUCGGGGGAUGACGGUACCGGAAGAAUAAGCACCGGCUAACUACGUGCCAGCAGCCGCGGUAAUACGUAGGGUGCAAGCGUUAAUCGGAAUUACUGGGCGUAAGCGUGCGCAGGCGGUUUGCUAAGACCGAUGUGAAAUCCCCGGGCUCAACCUGGGAACUGCAUUGGUGACUGGCAGGCUAGAGUAUGGCAGAGGGGGGUAGAAUUCCACGUGUAGCAGUGAAAUGCGUAGAGAUGUGGAGGAAUACCGAUGGCGAAGGCAGCCCCCUGGGCCAAUACUGACGCUCAUGCACGAAAGCGUGGGGAGCAAAACAGGAUUAGAUACCCUGGGUAGUCCACGCCCUAAACGAUGUCAACUAGUUGUUGGGGACUUCAUUUUCCUUAGUAACGUAGCUAACGCGUGAAGUUGACCGCCUGGGGAGUACGGUCGCAAGAUUAAAACUCAAAUGAAUUGACGGGGUCAUAGCU